UGAAGUAGUUGAUAGAAAUGGCAGCAGC
rnacentral:sRNA from 1 species